GCCUGGCUGGCUCAGUUGGAGGAGCGUGUGACUCUCGAUCUCGGGGUCAUGAGUUCGAGCCCCGUGUUGGGUG
rnacentral:tRNA from 1 species